rnacentral:lncRNA from 1 species
AAGUUAACCAUCACAUUUUUUCACCGCCAGAUGUCGAUGCUAUACAAGAGCUGUCGACGGCUAUCGAUUUGUCUUUUCUCGUCCACUUCAACCAUUUCUUCCCCACGUGCUACAGUAGUCGCCAUUAUCCUGAUGCUGCUGGGAAAUUCACCACAUUGGGAGACUAGAAAGUAGAAACCUGCUUGUGUGACCAGUAAAUCAAACAAUUCCACAGCUUGGUUUGGAAUGCUUCCCAUAAAAUUACAUGUGACAUUGUACCUGUAAACGACAUAACUUUGUAACUGAGGUUUCCUGAAUUAUGUGGUCCAUGCUUUGGAAGAUCUAUGUUGAUCUCAACCCAACAGGUGAUGUCCUACUUUGAACAACCAAAUAGUUCAUUACAUAAUGUGGCUUGAAUUUCAUUCAUUAUGUGAUUCUCAGACCAUUCCAUUGCUUGGCUUCAUUCAUGAGUGAAGAGCAUCUUCUGUGGUUGGUGAGAUAUCAAGCCAAGUUUGAAUGAUCUUUUUGCUCAAACAGAUUAAAUUUUCCACCAUCUUCUACUGAUGUAAUGUUUCUCUUUUGAAUGAUGCUGUCUACAAAGAUCCGAAGUAGCACCGUUGGGUCUACUCCUUUUCUACUAGGUGAAAGGAUCGUGCUGGGAUAUUUGGCAAUUUGAAAAUGGAUUACAAUACUUUUCAAUUUGAAAAUUGAAAUGUAAUUUUUAAUUUCUUUUCAAGGACAGAAUAUAAGUUUUUUAAAUGUCA